UACGUAGGGUGCGAGCGUUGUUCGGAAUUACUGGGCGUAAAGGGCGCGUAGGCGGCCUUCUAAGUCAGACGUGAAAUCCCCCGGCUUAACCUGGGAACUGCGUCUGAUACUGGAGGGCUUGAGUAUGGGAGAGGGAUGUAGAAUUCCAGGUGUAGCGGUGAAAUGCGUAGAUAUCUGGAGGAAUACCGGUGGCGAAGGCGGCAUCCUGGACCAUUACUGACGCUGAGGCGCGAAAGCUAGGGGAGCAAACGGG
rnacentral:rRNA from 1 species